rnacentral:rRNA from 1 species
AUUGAACGCUGGCGGCAGGCUUAACACAUGCAAGUCGAGCGGGGGAAGGUAGCUUGCUACUGGACCUAGCGGCGGACGGGUGAGUAAUGCUUAGGAAUCUGCCUAUUAGUGGGGGACAACAUCUCGAAAGGGAUGCUAAUACCGCAUACGUCCUACGGGAGAAAGCAGGGGAUCUUCGGACCUUGCGCUAAUAGAUGAGCCUAAGUCGGAUUAGCUAGUUGGUGGGGUAAAGGCCUACCAAGGCGACGAUCUGUAGCGGGUCUGAGAGGAUGAUCCGCCACACUGGGACUGAGACACGGCCCAGACUACUACGGGAGGCAGGAGUGGGGAAUAUUGGACAAUGGGGGGAACCCUGAUCCAGCCAUGCCGCGUGUGUGAAGAAGGCCUUAUGGUUGUAAAGCACUUUAAGCGAGGAGGAGGCUACUUUAGUUAAUACCUAGAGAUAGUGGACGUUACUCGCAGAAUAAGCACCGGCUAACUCUGUGCCAGCAGCCGCCGUAACAC